rnacentral:rRNA from 7 species
UGUCUUUUUGAAAAUAAUAUAAGGUCUAAUCUGCCCACUGAUUUAGAUUGAAGGGCUGCAGUAUAUUGACUGUACAAAGGUAGCAUAAUCAUUAGUCAUUUAAUUGGUGACUUGUAUGAAGGAUUGGAUGAAAUAUAAACUGUCUCUUUAUUAAUAAUAGAAUUUAAUUUUUUAAUUAAAAAGUUAAAAUAUUUUAAAAAGACGAGAAGACCCUAUAGAGUUUUAUAAAUAAAAUAAUUAAGAUUAUUUAAUUAAAUAAAAUUAAGAUUAUAUUAUUUAUUUUGUUGGGGUGACAGAAAAAUAUAUUUAACUUUUUUUUUAUGUAAAACAUUUAUAAGUGGUUAAAUGAUCCAAUAUUAUUGAUUAUAAGAAAAAAUUACCUUAGGGAUAACAGCGUAAUUUUUUUUUUUAGUUCAAAUAAGAAAAAGAGUUUGCGACCUCGAUGUUGGAUUAAGAUAAAAUUUAAAUGCAGAAG